GAUUUACAUUCGCUUCGUAAAUAAGUUUAAAAUUAUAUUAUUUUUAUAAAUAAUUUUUUUUAAAUUAUUUUGAUAAAGAACUCAUCUUUUGACCCAUAUCUACUUUUUGACCUGACAAAUAAAAAUAAAAUGAUAAUUAUCGUUGUGUUGAAAUCCAUAUCUAACACGAAAUUCAAUGUACUUUAUUCUUUCAGCUGGUCUCUGUACUUAUCCCGCUAACCAAAUACUAAGGGAACCCAUAUUCGCCAGUAUAAACAAUGUCUUAUUACAAGAUAUUAACCUUGAAAAUUUAUUGCGCACCA
rnacentral:lncRNA from 1 species